rnacentral:rRNA from 1 species
GGAUGAACGCUGGCGGCGUGCCUAAUACAUGCAAGUCGAGCGAACGGACGAGAAGCUUGCUUCUCUGAUGUUAGCGGCGGACGGGUGAGUAACACGUGGAUAACCUACCUAUAAGACUGGGAUAACUUCGGGAAACCGGAGCUAAUACCGGAUAAUAUUUUGAACCGCAUGGUUCAAAAGUGAAAGACGGUCUUGCUGUCACUUAUAGAUGGAUCCGCGCUGCAUUAGCUAGUUGGUAAGGUAACGGCUUACCAAGGCAACGAUGCAUAGCCGACCUGAGAGGGUGAUCGGCCACACUGGAACUGAGACACGGUCCAGACUCCUACGGGAGGCAGCAGUAGGGAAUCUUCCGCAAUGGGCGAAAGCCUGACGGAGCAACGCCGCGUGAGUGAUGAAGGUCUUCGGAUCGUAAAACUCUGUUAUUAGGGAAGAACAUAUGUGUAAGUAACUGUGCACAUCUUGACGGUACCUAAUCAGAAAGCCACGGCUAACUACGUGCCAGCAGCCGCGGUAAUACGUAGGUGGCAAGCGUUAUCCGGAAUUAUUGGGCGUAAAGCGCGCGUAGGCGGUUUUUUAAGUCUGAUGUGAAAGCCCACGGCUCAACCGUGGAGGGUCAUUGGAAACUGGAAAACUUGAGUGCAGAAGAGGAAAGUGGAAUUCCAUGUGUAGCGGUGAAAUGCGCAGAGAUAUGGAGGAACACCAGUGGCGAAGGCGACUUUCUGGUCUGUAACUGACGCUGAUGUGCGAAAGCGUGGGGAUCAAACAGGAUUAGAUACCCUGGUAGUCCACGCCGUAAACGAUGAGUGCUAAGUGUUAGGGGGUUUCCGCCCCUUAGUGCUGCAGCUAACGCAUUAAGCACUCCGCCUGGGGAGUACGACCGCAAGGUUGAAACUCAAAGGAAUUGACGGGGACCCGCACAAGCGGUGGAGC